rnacentral:ncRNA from 1 species
AUGUUGUAUGAAAGGAGAGUGUUGUAUGACAAGGACGGAAGGCCCUUGCACCUGUAGAACACACAUACAGUUAAGGCAUUGCCACCUACUUCAUGGCAUGUAACCGCUAUUUUUU